GACGAACGCUGGCGGCGUGCCUAACACAUGCAAGUCGAACGGAAAGGCCCUGCUUUUGUGGGCUGCUCGAGUGGCGAAGGGGUGAGUAACACGUGAGUAACCUGUCCUUCACUUUGGGAUAAGUUAAGGAAACUGAGGCUAAUACCGGAUAGGAUCUCCUGCUGCAUGGUGGGGGUUGGAAAGUUUAGGCGGUUGGGGAUGGACUCGCGGCUUAUCAGCUUGUUGGUGGGGUAGUGGCUUACCAAGGCUUUGACGGGUAGCCGGCCUGAGAGGGUGACCGGCCACAUUAGGACUGAGAUACGGCCCAGACUCCUACGGGAGGCAGCAGUGGAGAGUAUUGCACAGUGGGCGGAAGCCUGAUGCAGCAACGCCGCGUGCGGGAAGACGGCCUUCGGGUAGUGAACCGCUUUCGCCUGUGACGAAGCGUGAGUGACGGUAAUGGGUGAAUAAGCACCGGCUAACUACGUG
rnacentral:rRNA from 1 species